rnacentral:rRNA from 1 species
GACGAACGCUGGCGGCGUGCCUAAUACAUGCAAGUCGAGCGGACAGAUGGGAGCUUGCUCCCUGAUGUUAGCGGCGGACGGGUGAGUAACACGUGGGUAACCUGCCUGUAAGACUGGGAUAACUCCGGGAAACCGGGGCUAAUACCGGAUGGUUGUUUGAACCGCAUGGUUCAAACAUAAAAGGUGGCUUCGGCUACCACUUACAGAUGGACCCGCGGCGCAUUAGCUAGUUGGUGAGGUAACGGCUCACCAAGGCAACGAUGCGUAGCCGACCUGAGAGGGUGAUCGGCCACACUGGGACUGAGACACGGCCCAGACUCCUACGGGAGGCAGCAGUAGGGAAUCUUCCGCAAUGGACGAAAGUCUGACGGAGCAACGCCGCGUGAGUGAUGAAGGUUUUCGGAUCGUAAAGCUCUGUUGUUAGGGAAGAACAAGUACCGU